rnacentral:rRNA from 1 species
GGGAAGAGCCUCGAGUAGAGGUGACAGACCUACCGAGCUCGGCCAUAGCUGGUUGCCUGAGAACUGGAUAGAAGUUCAGCCUCCCGAAUUCUCCCCUCACGUUCAUCUAAUUUAUAAUUAAAGACCCCAAGAAAUCCGAGAGAGUUAGUCAAAAGGGGGACAGCCCUUUUGACAUAAGAUACAACUUUACUAGGUGGGUAUUGAUCAUAAUCUACCAAGGGGAAAUAAUCCAAGUGGGCCUAAAAGCAGCCACCUCUAUAGAAAGCGUCCAAGCUCAAACACUUUUCAAACCCUUAAAUCCCGAUAACCCUUCACAGCCCCCUAAAAAUAUCAGGCCCUUUCGUGCCCCCACGAAAGAGACUAUGCUACUACGAGUAAUAAGAGAAUAACCUUCUCUCCCAGCACACAUGUAAAUCGGAUCGGACCCCCCACCGAAACUUAACGGCCCCAAACAAAGAGGGUAAUAAAAUCUUAAUAUUAAUAAACCAGAAAACCACUUACAACCCCACCGUUAACCCCACACUGGAGUGCCCCCAAGGAAAGACUACAAGAAAGAAAAGGAACUCGGCAAACUAAAGCCUCGCCUGUUUACCAAAAACAUCGCCUCUUGCAAAACCAAAGAAUAAGAGGUCCCGCCUGCCCACUGAUCCAAGAUUCAACGGCCGCGGUAUUUUGACCGUGCUAAGGUAGCGUAAUCACUUGUCUUUUAAAUGAAGACCCGUAUGAAAGGCUUAACGAGGGCUUAACUGUCUCUUCUUUCUAGUCAAUGAAACUGAUCUCCCCGUGCAGAUGCGGGGAUAAAAACAUAAGACGAGAAGACCCUAUGGAGCUUUAGACACUAAAGCAGACUAUUUUUAAUAACCCUAACCAAGCAAUAAAUCUAAUAAAAACCUGCUACUGUCUUAGGUUGGGGCGACCCUGGGGAAACACAAAACCCCCAUGUGGAAGGGGGAACCUACUCUUCUACCCCUAAAAACCCGAAAUACAAUUCUAAUUAACAGAAUAUCUGACCAACUGAUCCGGCCUUGGGCCGAUUAACGAAACAAGUUACCCUAGGGAUAACAGCGCUAUCCCCUUUUAAAGUCCAUAUAGACAAGGGGGCUUACGACCUCG